GUUCAUUAGCUUAGUUGGCAAAGCACUCCUGUAACGUAUAAGGGUCGUGAGUUCAAAUCUCACAAUGGAUU
rnacentral:tRNA from 1 species